rnacentral:rRNA from 1 species
AUAGCAUAUAAGUAAGUGGUGGAAGAAAAAAUAAACAUGAUUCUUUUAGUAAUGGCGAAUGAACAAAGACAUGGUCAUUUUGAAAAUUGUGGUCUUAGAUCAUGAAUUGUAUUUUCAAAAUGCAUUGCUAACACAACUGCACAUGUUUGUUUAUUGGAAAGAACAUCACAAAGGGUGACAAUCCCAUGUGUCAUGUGUAUGUUUUGUGUACAGCGUGCAUUAUAUGAAUCACAUUCAUUGACAAUUGAAUGCAAAUAGAAUGGUAAAUUUCAUUUAAUCAUAAAUAUGUUGUUGACAACUUAUAGCAAACAAAUACCAUGAGGGAAAUGUGAAAAGGAUUUUGAAAAGAAAAUUAAAAGAGCUUGCAAUUGCUGAACUGAUAAGCAAACAAAACAUACGUGUGUAUGCAAGAUUGUUGUAAUGCUUAGCAUCCUAUGCAAGGCUAUUGCAAUGAUUUUUUGUAUAGUGAUGCUACCUUUUUUUAGAAUUUGGAAUGUCUUUUUUUGAGUGUGAAUGGAAUUUUGUUUGUUAGCAAAGGAAUGCACUUUUAGAUUCAUUGUUUGAUUUGAUUUAAAAAUGUUUGUGACACAUGUCUUUGUUUUAGUUUCAUGCUUCAACCAAGGACAUUGUGUUUGAUCCAUAUCAGCAAUACAUGUUUUGUUUGACCCGUCUUGAAACACGGACCAAGGAGUUUAAUUUAUGUGCAAGAUCAUGAAACUGACAUUUGUAUAUCAAUGAAAAUAUUUUGUUGGGAUUUGUGCACCAACAACUGAUAAGUUGUGUGACGCGACGUUGAGUUUGAGCAUGUUGAUUAAAACCCGAAAGAUGGUGAACUAUGCCUGAACAGAAUGAAGUCAGAGGA